GUGGGUCCACAGAAAUAAACUGAGAUGCCAGGGUUUUUCUUUGUUUUUACUAUUUUCUACAUUUUAGAAUAAUAGUCAAGACAUAAACACUAUGAAAUAACACAUGGAAUCAUGUAGUAACCAUAAGUGUUAAACAAAUCAAAAUAUAUUUUUAAUUCUUCAAAGUAGCCACCCUUUGCCUUGAUGACAGCUUUGCACACUCUUGGCAUUCUCUCAACCAGCUUCACCUGGAAUGCUUUUCCAACAGCCUGUAAGGAGUUCCCACAUAUGCUGAGCACUUGUUGGCUGCUUUUCCUUCACUCUGCGGUCCAACUCAUCCCAAACCAUCUCAGUUGGGUUGACGUCUGGGGAUUUUGGAGGCCAGGUCAUCUGAUGCAUCACUCUCCUCCUUUAAUAAAAUAGCCCUUACGCAGCCUGCCGGUCUGUUCGGUCAUUGUCCUGUUGAAAAACAAAUGAUAGUCCCACUAAGCCCAAACCAGAUGGGAUGGCGUAACCAGCAUUCUGCAGCGAUAAGUGUUUCUUAAAUUCUAAAUAAAUCACAGACAGUGUCACCAGCAAAGCACCCCCACAUCAUAACACCUCCUCCAUGCUUUACGGUGGGAAAUACACAUGCGGAGAUCAUCCAUUCACCCACACCGCGUCUCACAAAGCACAGCGGUUGGAACCAAAAAUCCAGACCAAAGGACAAAUUUCCACCGGUCUCAUGUCCAAUGCUCGUGUUUCUUGGCCCAGGCAAGUCUCUUCUUCUCAUUGGUGUUCUUUAGUAGUGAUUUCUUGGCAGCAAUGCGACCAUGAAGGCCCGAUUCACACAGUAUCCUCUGAACACUUAAUGUUGAGAUGUCUGUUACUUGAACUCUGUGAAGCAUUUAUUUGGGCUACAAUUUCUGAUAACUUUAAUGAACUUAUCCUCUGCAGCAGAAGUAACUCUGGGUCUUCCAUUCUUGUGGUGGUCCUCAUGAGAGCCAGUUUCAUCAUAGCCCUUGAUGUUUUUUUGCGACUGCACCCCCCCCCCACCUUGUCACAACACAACUGAUUGGCUCAAAUGCAUUAAGAAGGAAAGAAUUUCCACAAAUGAACUUUUAACAAGGCACACCUGUUCAUUGAAAUGCAUUCCAGGUGACUACCUCAUGAAGCUGGUUGAGAGAAUGUGAAGAGUGCAAAGCUGUCAUCAAGGCAAAGGGUGGCUACUUUGAAGAAUCUCAAAUAUAUUUUGAUUUGUGUAACACUUUUUUUGGUUACUACAUGAUUCCAUAUGUGUUAUUUCAUAGUUUUGAUGUCUUCACUAUUAUUCUACAAUGUAGAAAAUAGUCAAAAUAAAGAAAAACCAUGAAUGAGU
rnacentral:lncRNA from 1 species